CUGAUGCAGCAACGCCGCGUGGGGGAUGAAGGCCUUCGGGUUGUAAACCUCUUUUAGUAGGGAAGAAGCGAAAGUGACGGUACCUGCAGAAAAAGCACCGGCUAACUACGUGCCAGCAGCCGCGGUAAUACGUAGGGUGCGAGCGUUGUCCGGAAUUAUUGGGCGUAAAGAGCUCGUAGGCGGUUUGUCACGUCUGCUGUGAAAGCUGGAGGCUCAACCUCCAGUCUGCAGUGGGUACGGGCAGACUUGAGUGCGGUAGGGGAGACUGGAAUUCCUGGUGUAGCGGUGGAAUGCGCAGAUAUCAGGAGGAACACCAAUGGCGAAGGCAGGUCUCUGGGCCGUAACUGACGCUGAGGAGCGAAAGCGUGGGGAGCGAACAGGAUUAGAUACCCUGGUAGUCCACGCCGUAAACGUUGGGCGCUAGAUGUGGGGACCAUUCCACGGUUUCCGUGUCGUAGCUAACGCUUUAAGCGCCCCGCCUGGGGAGUACGGCCGCAAGGCUAAAACUCAAAGGAAUUGACGGGGGCCCGCACAAGCGGCGGAGCAUGCGGAUUAAUUCGAUGCAACGCGAAGAACCUUACCAAGGCUUGACAUACACGAGAACGCUGCAGAAAUGUAGAACUCUUUGGACACUC
rnacentral:rRNA from 1 species